GGAGCAAAGAAAUACAAGAGUUUUCUUUUAAUCAAAGGGAUGAGAGAAACCAAGUUGGAGUACAGUAGGGGCAGAGGGAAUUUCCAGUGAAGCAGUGAAAUGCAUAGAGAUGGGCCAACGCUGACACUGAGAAAUGAAAGCUAGGGGAGCGAAUGUGAUUAGAUACCCCUGUAGUCCUAGCCGUAAACGAUAGAUACUAGGCGCUAUGCGUAUCGACCUGUGUAUUGUAGCUAAUGCGUUAAGUAUCUCACC
rnacentral:ncRNA from 1 species